GCUUACGGCCAUACUGAUCUUGCAAGCUAAGCAAGGUCAGGCCAAGUUAGUACUUGGAUGGGAGACUGCUUGGGAAUACCAGGUGCUGUAAGCU
rnacentral:rRNA from 1 species